AAUGCCCGUGGUCUGAAUGACAAGGCCCGUCGUGGUGGAGUCCACUCCCUUGUGCUUCAGUCUAGGUGCGCACUUCUGUGUGUCCAGGAGACGAAAAAGGCUCAGUUCUCGACUGUGGAGCUGCGGGAAACGGCGGGUUCAGAGCUCACUGGUUGCGCGGUGCUCCCUGCAGACGGCACCAGGGGCGGGGUGCUGCUGGCUUGGAACCCGUUGGUGUUCGCUGUCGACCGAGUCUCCGUCUCGGAGUUUGCCAUCACGGCGCGC
rnacentral:rRNA from 1 species